UACGUAGGGCGCAAGCGUUUGUCCGGAAUUAUUGGGCGUAAAGAGCUCGUAGGCGGUUUGUCGCGUCUGCUGUGAAAUCCUCAGGCUCAACCUGGGGCUUGCAGUGGGUACGGGCAGACUAGAGUGCGGUAGGGGUGACUGGAAUUCCUGGUGUAGCGGUGGAAUGCGCAGAUAUCAGGAGGAACACCGAUGGCGAAGGCAGGUCACUGGGCCGCAACUGACGCUGAGGAGCGAAAGCAUGGGGAGCGAACAGG
rnacentral:rRNA from 1 species